CAAUAGCGUAUAUUAAAGUUGUUGCAGUUAAAAAGCUCGUAGUUGAAUUUCUGUCAGGAGUGACCGGGCCUUUGGAUGAACUUCCAUUGUUUUUGCUCUGUUUGUCAUCUCUAGACAUCCUAAAUUACAUUUCUUGUAAUUUUCUUUUACUGUUAGCAAAAUAGAGUGUUCCAAGCAAAGCGUAGUUUUGAAUACAUUAGAAUGGAAUAAUAAGAUAGGACUUUGGUGCUAUUUUGUUGGUUUGCACACCAAGGUAAUGAUUAAUAGGGACAGUUGGGGGUAUUCGUAUUUAAUUGUCAGAGGUGAAAUUCUUGGAUUUACGCAAGACAAACAGCUGCGAAAGCGUCUGCCAAGGAUGUUUUCAUUAA
rnacentral:rRNA from 1 species